GACGAACGCUGGCGGCGUGCCUAAUACAUGCAAGUAGAACGCACAGUUUAUACCGUAGCUUGCUACACCAUAAACUGUGAGUUGCGAACGGGUGAGUAACGCGUAGGUAUCCUGCCUGGUAGCGGGGGAUAACUAUUGGAAACGAUAGCUAAUACCGCAUAAUAUUAAUUAUUGCAUGAUAAUUGAUUGAAAGAUGCAAUUGCAUCACUACCAGAUGGACCUGCGUUGUAUUAGCUAGUAGGUGAGGUAACGGCUCACCUAGGCGACGAUACAUAGCCGACCUGGGAGGGUGAUCGGCCACACUGGGACUGAGACACGGCCCAGACUCCUACGGGAGGCAGCAGUAGGGAAUCUUCGGCAAUGGACGAAAGUCUGACCGAGCAACGCCGCGUGAGUGAAGAAGGUUUUCGGAUCGUAAAGCUCUGUUGUAAGAGAAGAACGGGUGUGAGAGUGGAAAGUUCGCACUGUGACGGUAUCUUACCAGAAAGGGACGGCUAACUACGUG
rnacentral:rRNA from 1 species